rnacentral:misc_RNA from 1 species
GAAAUGCGAUAAGUAAUGUGAAUUGCAGAAUUCAGUGAAUCAUCGAAUCUUUGAACGCACCUUUCGCUCCUUGGUAUUCCUUGGAGCAUGCCUGUUUGAGUAUCAUGAAAUCUUCAAAGUAAAUCUUUUGUUAACUCAAUUGGCUUCUACUUUGGUAUUGGAGGUCUUUGCAGCUUCACACCUGCUCCUCUUUGUUCAUUAGCUGGAUCUCAGUGUUAUGCUUGGUUCCACUCGGCGUGAUAAGUUAUCUAUCGCUGAGGACACUGUAAAAGGUGGCCAAGGUAAAUGCAGAUGAACCGCUUCUAAUAGUCCAUUGACUUGGACAAUACUUUUAUGAUCUGAUCUCAAAUCAGGUAGGACUACCCGCUGAACUUAAGC